rnacentral:rRNA from 1 species
GACGAACGCUGGCGGCGUGCUUAACACAUGCAAGUCGAACGGUGAAGCUCUUCUGAGGUGGUCAGUUGCGGACGCGUGAGUAACACGUGGGCAACCUGCACCCGGCUCUGGGAUAACUCCAAGAAAUUGAAGCUAAGACCGGAUGUUCACCGCUUCCCUCGUGGGGGGGGGUGAAAAGGGUUGGCGGCUGGGGAUGGGCCCGCGGCGUGUCAGCUUGUUGGUGGGGUAGUGGCGUACCAAGGCGACGACGGGUAGCCGGCCUGAGAGGGUGACCGGCCACACUGGGACUGAGACACGGCCCAGACUCCUACGGGAGGCAGCAGUGGGGAAUAUUGCGCAAUGGGCGGAAGCCUGACGCAGCGACGCCGCGUGGGGGAUGACGGCCUUCGGGUUGUAAACCUCUUUCAGCAGGGACGAAGCGCAAGUGACGGUACUUGCAGAAGAAGCACCGGCUAACUACGUG